UGAUUUUUAAAUAAUAAUUUUAAUCAGGUUGAAAUGGGAUGUUUGGUAGUAAUACCUUUCCUACUUAAAUUUUGUUCUUUGUUUUUUAGAUGACAGCUCUUGAGAAAUUUCUUUUAGGUACAAAUUCUGUUAAAAGUUUUACUUCUGUUUAUGAACUGACACUUUUUUUCUCUUGUAAAUCUUUAGAAUUGUAUAACUGGUUGUGCAUGUAUAUAUUUUUUCCCUCAUUUGCAUGCUAAUAAGCUCAGAACCUAGUUUGAGACUAACAUAUAGUUCCAAUAUUGCUGUAUGUUUACAUUUAUUUUUUCUCUUCCUAGUCUUGACAUUUUGCUCUGACUUUCUUUGGUUUGUGUUACUUAUUCUUUAUACACCUCUCUCCCAUUUCUAACUAUAUUUUGCAAGCAAUUUAGAACCUUUUUAUAUUUAGGAGGAGAAGACACAAAUGAACAUACAAACAAAUGAGUAUUGAAUGACAUUGAGUUGUGCUUGAGGCUAUUGACUGUCUGUAGUUCUUGUGUAUGAAAUAAAGUUCAAAAGUUUAAAGCAGUUAUGCAGACUGUUUUUCUAUUUUUAAAAGGCCCUUGCUUGUCAAAUGAGAGUAAAUAUUUACAUUUGGCCAUGGUAAAAUGUUCUGAGGGUGAAAAAAAAUGAUUUUAAUAGAACUGCAUCCUUAAUAGAAGAUGGAUACAAAAUCCAUUCAUAUGCAGGAGGUAGAAAAAAUGAAGUAACGGUAGAAAACAGUUACUUAGCUACAGGUAAAUACUUAAUACCAUCACUUCAGGGGAAGUACAUAAUUCUUUUAUUGUAUACCAUGCUAUUUGUAUGAUUUUGCCUCUUAAGAUAUUUAACUGAUUUCAAUAAAGAAGUGAAAUAUUUGUUGUUGUUUUACUAGUUUUCAGAUAGUGGCACAAUAAUGAUAUAAUGGAAAGUAUAGUGACUCAGCUUAAAUGUGGGCAGAUUAUUUCAUCUCUUUGAAUCAUUCUCAAUGCCUUUUUCAGCUUUAUGGGAAUAGCAAUAUCUAUCACAGAGCUUGUAGUGGAUAUUACAUAAGAUAUGAUAUCUAUAUCAAACCUGUUACAUAGUGGCUGUUACAUAUGUUCAUUUUCUCCUCUUCCCAUCACCACACUUCUCAACCAUAGAAAGUCAGCAUUCCCUGAGCUGACUUUUACAUUAUCUAUGUAUUUUUUCUUUUAUCAAUGUAUGAAAUACUAUCUUUUUCCUUAAAAAUGAGAUUAUUACCUUAUGAUAAAAGGAAGCAGUUUUUUUUAUUUCUUAUUUUGGAAGAGAAAAAUAAGUUGUUUUGUUAGUAGAUUUAGAAACAGGGGAAAUAUGGAUAGUUAUUUGGAUGAGGGAUGAGAGGUGAGGAAGACGGUAGAUAAAAUACAGAAGUUAGCAGCAGUGGUAUCUGGAGAAAACAAAACAAGCACCCACCCCCCCACCCAUCACAUUACUUGCCCUUUCUGACACAGCUAAAAUUAAAUGGAGAGGGAAAAAGAUGACAGUGGUUGUGGGGGUAUACACCCUGUGCAGAAAGCCUCUACAUUUUGCACAACUCUUUGCUUUAUUGGAUAGUCAAUAAAAUCAAACAGGAAAGACUUCAGACCUGCAAAGCUGCCAAAAAUGUAGUGGUCUCUGGAUUCUUGACAGCUGAACUGUGAGAGUCAUGUGGUAUGUAAAACAUCUGGAAAGAAUCGUUCUGCUGUGGAGCAAGUGACAGGUCUGCUGGAUUUCAGUAAUCCAAGAAGGUGCCAGAGACAAGUUCUGAGUUUCGUUGGGAUGGGUUCUGUGUGGUGAUUCUACAUGGCCCUCAUUAGUAGUUACUCCUGUUUAUAAAGAUGAAUACAAAGAAAUCUUGGGUGCCCCAGAACUGGAAAAGACUUGAGAAAUUAACUCCAGCUCUUUAUUUUAGAUGAGGAAACUAAGGCUCAGAGACCUAAAGUGACUUCCCCAAAGUUGCGUAGUGAGUUAGUUUUAGAACUACAGCCAGCACCUGAGUCUCUGAACUUCUGAGCUAAAGGCAAAUAGCUGUGGAAACCAUUUUCUUAAUGUAGAGGAGUGUGAUUCUACUCACAUAACCUUAUUCAGCUCUGGAAGUCAAUAUUCUAAAUAAAGAAAGAGAAAUAAACAACUCCUACCCUUUCUUUGUAGUUUAGCAAGAAUUUGUACCUCUGACCCAAACUCUAAGGACAAGUUGCUUCAAGAUGCAAAACAAGGAAGAGCGUCUGAGGUCUUUAAAAAAUGUUAACCAUAGUAAACAAACAAACAAAAGAAACCCUACUGUACUUAUUGUAUGAUAGCACCCAUUUCUCUCUGGAAGGGGAGGAGAGGAGAUUCAAGGUGAAGAAGAAGGAAAAAUGUUUUACAGUGCAAGAGGUUUCUACAUAGUAAGUGCUUCAUAAAUAUUACUGAUGGAUGAAAUAGCCUUCACCAAUCACUAACUCAAAAAAGUUUUUAUGUAAUAAAUUACACCCUAAAAUAGCCAUACCUUUUCUCUUCAAGCUAUGUGAUACCACCAAUUAUAUGAAAUUUAGUACAAUAGGAUAAUUGUAAAGAAAAUCCAACACUAAAAAGAGACAAUAACAUUGUCUAACAUUUUUGUGUAAUAAGAUAGGUUAUAUAAGUUUCUAGGAUUAACAUCACAUUUGUUAUUUCCUAAAAGUACAUUAAAAUCCUUAACUGUUUUUCAAUUUUUGCAUUGCUCUAACAACAACAACAACAACAAAAUAUAUGCAAUGGGAGAGAGUUUGGUUAAUCGAAAUUUAAGACAGUUUUACGUACUAGCAUUUAAAUCUUUUCUAAAUUUUUCCCCAACUAUAAAUCAACCCAUUAUUAGUGAUCGGUUUGAUCUAGGGAAAAAAAGUUUCUUCUUUUCCAUUUAGUUGUUAAUAGCACAAAUUGUAUCAAUUAGAAAAACACUCAAACUGCCAGGGUCCAUAUCACAGACCCCAGCUGCACGACAGAUGAAUAAAUGCACUCAGACACAAAUAUCCAAUGAUCGAGUGGGCCAAGGGGCCAUGAGCCACUCACAGAGAGAGAUCACCGCUACAGGACGCUGACUAGUUCGCCCUCUCCCCAUUCAUUCAGUAUAGAUUUAAUAACAGAGGCUUUAAAUCAACCCACUUAUAGAGAAAGAUUAAAGGCCAGGUUCCAAUGCCCAAAGCAGAUUACCUCUAAUAGGGUAAUCUCCCUGGUCAACCCCCCCCCAAGAGGGCCAUCCAGCUCAAAGGUUAGUUUUAAGACCACAUGAGUAAACAAGUUAGGUAAACUCCCACAUUCCUUUGUUUCUACUCUAAUUUAUUUAAGGAGACAAGGCUAGCUUCAGCCAAGAACUAUAGAAAAAACCCUUAGGCCUUCCAAAAGGGUUUGAGACUAUAUUCUAUAACUUUCUCUAAAAUUUUCACUUAAUAUUUUUGCCACUACCCUGAAUGAAUUCCCACAUCAAACUAUUUGGAUAUUAUUUUGUCAAAUUAUAUUUAGUACAUAGAAACUUGAGGUCGGGAGACAGGAGGAAUAGCUUCAUUGCACCAAACAAAAUAGUGUUUCUCUCUGUCUGCUAUGACAUUUUAUGAGUAUUUCAGCAGCAUUGCUGACUUUUUCUGGGUUGUUUUUGCUGCUGCUUAACUCUGCAGUGUUGGGAGCGCUGGCUCACCCUCUCACCUUUUACUCUUCCACUUGUGCAGCCUUGUGUAUACUGUUUCUAACAUUCGUGUGGUGCUUACCAUGAGCCAGGCACAAUUCUUCAUUAGACAGGAAAAGGAGAUACUUCCUUUUCCACCCUUGUACUCUGGUGUUAGAGAUAUUCUCAAAUAGAAUGGCCAUGUUUUCUGCAGAGUUCUGUCUAGCCGCAUCUGACCAGCUCUUUUUCCUUGAGGUGUCAGACCUGGCAGACCUGGUGUCCAGGGGCUCCUCACUUUUCUAUAGCUGUGUGUGUUCAUCAAAGCCAUAACCUCAGAGCCAGAGGGUCACAGGAAGCAGGGUCUCCUGUCCACCCCCACUGCCUUCUUCAUUUGUAGUGUGCCAGCUGCCCUCCUCACCUCCACUGUCUUCUGCUCUCUAUCUAGGUCUGAAGAUGCAUGAGUCUUCGUGGGCAUCUGGCCACAGCUCUGCUUUGCCUAGUUAAUGAUGUGGAUGUCAGCUUUGUCCUGAACCACAUACCACCCAUACUUUGUAGACGCCAUUUCCUUUACUAGGGCCCAACUGAGACUUAUAACGGAAUUUUUUACAAAAUCCACAAAAUGCCCUUGAUUCUCUGCUAGGUCUCUGAUUAUCAUCUUGUCUGAUUUGAAAUGCUAAGCAGAAUUUAAUCAUUGGAAGAUACUGGGAAGGUUAACUCAACAUUCUUGACCUUCAUCACCUUAUACCUCUGCCACCCAAGUUUUAAGAACAAACAGCCUGGUACAGUGGCUAAUAAUAAUAAAUUAUAGUUGCUACGGUACAGAUAGAGGACAAUGUAAUACAGUAAUGAAGGCACCCAAGUGUCAUAGUUAAACUGUUAGAGAUUCAAAUACUAAUCUACUUUUUUGAUUGUUUAGCAUUGGCCAGUUAUCACAAUUAGUUCCACAUAUGAAAAUAAACCUGAUAGUGGUACUUAUCUCAUAAGAUAAUUAGAAGAUUCAGUGAGUUAAUGUAUAAAGAACUUAGCACAAGGCCUGAUAGAUUGAAAGCACUAGGUAAACAUUUCUUCUUUAUUUUUGCUACCAUUGAGAAGCAGUUUAUGUGUACCAGACCAUGCCAGUGCAUUGACUACUUUAUAUACACGUGCCUACUUCAUUGGGAGCUCCACAAAUACGUUCACCCCAGAUAGUACUGCCACCAAAGCUCUGAAUUUUGUCAUGGAGGGCAGUGGCAAUUUAUGGCCCCAGGGCACCUAGCUUUGCUCAGAAAAUGUCCUUCAUCAACUUUGUUAGUGUCAAGAGUGAGCAAGCUUUUUCUAAAGCUUCUAAGAGAGAUCCUGGUAAAUAAAAGGAUUCUUUCUCCUGUCAAAGUGCUAGGUGGUCACCAUAUCAACAAACAGAGAUUCAGUCACUCACUUCCUCUCCAAAUUGAGGUCACUGAGGAGUGAACAACAGUUUCUGGGUAACAGCCAUCUACUUAGUAAGGUUCACCCAUUCAUUGGCAUAUUUUCAAAGUCACCUAACUGUUCCACACAACUUGUUCCUGAAACAGAAGAUAGUCAACAUGGCCAGUAAAUGAUGGCUUAUAUGGAGAUAAGCCUUUCCUUUUCAGUAUCAUUAUACAUAACUGUGUUCAUGCCCUGCUGGCUCAAAGCAGCUUGUUUAAAGAGUGUGCCUUCUUCUAUUUGUCCCGUACAUAAGAACUACAGGUGGUUGAGUAUAUUGACUCAUUCUUAUAAUCCCAGCACUUUGGGAGGCUGAGGCAGAAGGAUCACUUGAGGCCACGAGUUCAAGACCAGGACUGUGGCACUUGCAGUCCUACCUUCUUGGGAGGCUGAGUCAGGAUUGCCUGAGCCGAGGAUUUCAAAGCUGCCUAUGAGCUAUGAUCACACCACUGCACUUCAGCCUGGGCAACAGGGAAAGACCAUGUCUCUAAGCAAUAUUUUUUUUUAAAGGACCAUAGGAGUCUCUUAUCUGAUUUGAGAGCCAUGUUUAUUAACCAAGUGGGGACUUUUUCUUCUAAUAGGCUAACUCAUGAGGUCACAGAAUGAGAUAGGGUCUUCCAUGGUGAUCCCUCAUAGCCACCAAUAGAAAAAUAAUUCAGUAAGAAUAUAAACAGUGUAGAUUAGAUGAAGAACUUCUAGUUUUUCUUCCUUUUGCUACCUUAGCACUAUUGUCAUUUUGAACUGGUAAUGCACAGGAGCUGUUCUGUGCAUUAUAUAAUGUUUAGCAAGUUCCCUGGCCUCUAUCCACUAGAUACUAGUAACAGCAACCACCACCCACCAGAAAUCUCUCCAGACAUUGCCAGAUGUCCCUGGGGGUGAGGGAAGCUAAAUCACCCCCAUAAUAUAUAAAAUAUCUUUCCAUAAAAGAAAGAAUCUUCAGUUGUUUCUUCUAGAUAGAAGAGAGAGUUUGUCAAUUACCCCUAUUAAAUUUUCCCUCCUAAAAGGACUAUUAUCUGGAAGUGUCUUUUUCUUUUUAUUAUAGGUUGUUAAUCUGGUCUUUGAUGCUGUGUUCUUAUCCAAAAGACAUUAAAUAGUCAAAGGACAUGGAACUAUUGUUAGAAGACUGAGUUUUAUUCCAACACCACUAUUAUUAGCCUUGGCACAGAGCAAAUCCUUUAAGUACUCUAAGCCUUGGUUUACCUGUUAUCAAGGUUAUGGAAAAGAGAAAUAUGUGUGUAUGAAAGCAUUUUUAAAAACCAAAGAAGUCACCUAGCACUCAGAUCUUGGUUUAUAAUGUGAUUUUUCAAUAUUAGAAGCCAGUGCUCCUUGGAGAAAUCUCUGACUUUAUUCCUGGGGCAGGAAAUAUACAAGAUGACCUAGAUCAUCUUGUAGUGCCAGAAAAUAAAUAAAUGCUUUUAAAAAAUUAUAAUGAGAGGGGUAUGUAAAAGGGACACAGGAAUUAAAGGAUAGUGCUCCCAAUGGCUAACGUUGGAACAAUUUGAGAACAAAAUAAAUAAAGCAGUAUGGGAGUAUAACCCAAAGUAUAAGAUAACCAUCAAUGAAUCUGAUAUAAAUAAGUGAUUAACAAGUAAAUAAAUGGGGAAAAGAGAAUAAUUUACCACAUAAAAAUUCCCAAAUAAUUUAUGCGCACAUUUUACCCUCAAGAAGGUAGAGUAUGGCUUUUUACUCCUUAAGUGUAGGCUGUGCAUUGUACUUUCUUUCAAAGAGUACAGAAUGGGAAGGGGGAAAAGAAUAACUUUCCAGUGGGGCUACCUGAUUUGGUCCCAGCCAAAUCAGUCAAGUCAAAUCAACAGUGACCCUUGAUAGUAUAUACCCUUAAUAUAACAUGAGAAUGGCGCUUUACCUCCAUUGUCUUUCUCCCAACAACAUAUAACCCAGUGUAAUGAAAAAAAAUAGACAAAUCCCAAUUGAGGGACAUUCUACAAAAUUUCCAACUAGUUAGUACUCCUUAAAACUGUCAAAGUUAAAAACAGAGGAGGUCUGAAACUUUGUCAUGUCAAGAGUAACCUAAAAUACAUGGCCAGUAAACUUAAUAUGGUAUCCUGGAUGGGAUCCUGGCACAGAAAAGGGACAUUAGGUAAAAACUAAGGAAAUCUAAAUGUAGGGAGAACUUUAGUUAAUAAUAAUGUGUCAGUAUUGCUUCACUAAUUGUGACAAAUGUACCCUAAUAUUGAAAGAUGUUGAUAGGGAAACUGAGUGUGAAGUGUAUGGGAACUCUGUACUGUCUUUGUAAUUUUUCUGUCCAUCUAAAACUAUGCUAAAAUUAAAAAUUUAUUUUAAAAAGCAUAGCAAAAUAAAGGUAAGACACUAUUAUAAGUAGUGGUGAUUUUAUCCAGAAGGAAAUUAACAAGUUCUGGUAUGUAAUUCUCUUAGUUUUAAAAGUCUACUCGUGAAGUCAUUCCCCAACUUCCCUCUCUAGGUGAUGUUUAAUGUCUUUAUGGAUCGUACUUCAUCUCUUCUCCCACCAGCUUGGAGUAGUUUUAGGUUUCCAACUAAAGAAGCUGAGGAGUAUCACAUAACAGUUCUUCACUUUCUUGGCAUAAAUCCUGUGGCAGACCAUGUUUACUUUUUCUUAUGAGGAAAUCCACAUAUGCUCCCUUCUUCUUCCCUCAUCCAGUCAGACAUAUAGCUGCCUUUACAACUUACCAGUGCUUUCUUCUAACCAAGGUCUGAAAGGUUCUCUUUUAGUUUCUUUGCUCUCAAGGGGAACGGAAAAAAGCAGGGGUACCAUGGUAGCACCCCACAGCACUAACUUGCCCAGUAGGAAUGAAGAACCAACUUGCCCAGUAGGUACUGCAACUAGAUGUGUACAGAAUGAGAAGGUAAGAUGAGGGGAUCCUUCAGAAUGAGUCAUCACAUAUAAAAUCUUGGAAGGACAAUAUAUGAGCAGAUAAAAAAAAUUAAUAUAUGUAACUACAGUUAGUUACCUCUAGGAUACUCUUGUCUUUUUGGCUAUAGCCAUUAUAACUAACUGUGUAACUGGAAGUCAUUCCCACUGUCUUUAUUUCAGUGAACAGUAUUGUUUAUUUAUUCUGGGCAUAUAGCCCUUUAUAAAGGUAUAUAUUUGAACAUAGUUUGUUAUAGAAAUUGAAUUUAGAAUCAAUCCAGUAUAUAAAGAGUAGUGUUCUGUAAUCCACUGGUGAAGAAGAAUUGACCAAUCAAAUUUCUUUAAUGGGACCAGUGAUUUAUGGGACCGCAUCAGCGCUUUUCAGUUCUGAGAACUUCAGUGAGGCAUUUGCCAGAGUCAGGUUUACUGAUGAUAGUAAAAGUAUUGGUUAAUAUAAAGAUAAUAGUACAAACAACAUGUGCUUACCAUUAUUUAGGCUUGUUUGACAUCCCAUCCCACCCAUGAAGUCAGGAAGGUAAUAUAUGGCCACUUCUGACAGGUGAGGUCAUGGGCAAGGACAUGCGGCUGAAAGAAACACAGGUGUACAGCCUAAGCCACUUCAUUCUGGGCAGAGUAUUUUUCCUACUAGCCUGCACUGAAGCCUUGGCAUGGUUUCAUGAUUAUAAUUAUUACCUCUACUUUUUAAAAUGCUCUAUUUCUGGACCAAAUCAUGUUUGCUUAUUGUUUGGAUCCAAAUGCCACACUUGUAGAUUUUAUACAGCUACAGCUGAUAAUUUUAGGCACCAUGGACUAAAGUUAAUUUACACCUAGAGGAGUGCUGACCAAUGGAACUUCCUGCAGUGAUGAAAUAGCCUAUAUCCAUGCUGUCCUGUGUGGUGGCCACUAACCACAUGUGGCUAUUCAGCACUUGAAAUGUGGCAGGGUAUUGCGGGAACUUUUAAAUUGUACUUAAUUUAAGUAGCCACCAGCGGCCAAUGACCUGCUAGAGCACCAGUCUAGACAGUGUAGGAAUCCUCCAUGUGAUGCAGGCUCCCCCGCUACCUUAGCUCUUGGCCUUGCUUGCGCACACUUGGCUAUUCUUUGAGAAAACAGUUGUGUAGCAUCUUUUUUUCUUGCUUUUUUUCAUGCUUAGGAUGUUUGGGAUAUACAGAUCACUAGCAGAACAAAGUUCAUUCUCAAUUUUGACCCACUUAAAUCUAAAGCUGUAAUAUCUUAAACUUAACGCUAAAAAAGAUAAUUCACUGAGUUUUGUUAACCAUACUCUUUUUUAGGGGAAAUGAGGAAACAGUGAUCCCAUAUGUCCUUGAUUGUACCUUUAAGAGUCUGAACCUUUAAAAAAUUAUUAUUGGCAAUAGGUUUGUUUCUUUAAUUCUAAAAACAAAGGAUUUUUUUUUUUACAGAUGCAAAUCCAUUAACUUGAUGGCUGCAAAGUUCAGUGACACUUUAAGUCCAAAUUGAGUGAUAUUUACAGAGUCAGAUGAAAAUCUAGUCACAUCAUGAUUGCUAGGUUAAGAAUGACAUUCUGAGAUUCUAAGCUAAGAAAGAGGGAACUGUAAUGUAUAGUUUCAUACAUACAUUGCAGAUAAACAUCAAAAUAUUAAGAGAAUGACAGCUGUUAUUAUUGUGUUAACUUGAGCAAGUAAACUCAGAAGCUCUAUGGAAGGAAUCAGAAAAAGUGACGUUCUUAAUUACCUCACAUUUCCUUGACUACAAAAUCUCAACCUCAUUAUUUCAUAAGUAAAGUACAAAGGCAACAAAUAUUACUAGGAGUAAUGUAACAAUGCAAAAAGGGAGGGAGGGGCUGUCUCAUAGAAACUUUUUCUUCUCCAGACAUAAUUUUACACUUCUUAAUACAAGUGCUUUUUAAAUUUAAUACACGAAUUUUUUCCCCACAUAUUAUGAUAUUAGAAAAACACUUUUUAUGGUAGGAGACAGGAAAUAGUGAAUUUAAUCUAAAAUGUCACUUAAUGCAAAUUUGAACAAACCAAAUUACUAAGUGGUUGCUUUUCUAUGCUAAACAGUUUUACAGUAUUAGAUUCUCUUUUAAUGUGAGUCUUUCAUUUCUGAUUUAGCACUUGUUUUUAUUCUAUUUCUUGGAUUCAUUUUCAUGGCCAUGAAACUAUCAUGUCAGUUCUUUAUUAUUACUUUGCUGUACAUUGUUAUUAAAUGUGAACAUAUUUUUAGCUAAUAGAGCCCUGCAGUCCCCCAGAAGCUCUUUUCAUGCCCCCUUCUAGCCAAUAUCCGUUCCCUGGAGAGAUACCCAACACCACAGAUUAAAUUUGUCUCAUUUUUAAUUUUAUAUAUAUAGUUAUGCAGUAUGUAUUUUCCUGCGUCUAGUGUCUCUUUCUCAACAUUAUACUCCUAUAAUGUCUCCUUGUUACUGGAUGUCACAGUAAUUAAUUAGUUUUCAUUGCUGUAUGGUAUGCCAUUAUAUUAAUAUAACUACACCAUAUUUUAUCUAUUCAUCCUACCCUUGGUAGAGGUGGGUUAAUUUAAUUGGAUACUGUUACAAAUAAUGCCUCAUGAACAACAUUUAUAUGUGAUUUUCAUGCCUUUUUACAUGUUACUCUUAGAUCUACAUGUAGAAUUAGAAUCACUACAUUGUAGAGUGUGUUUGUGAGUUUAAUUUUAAUAGGAACUGCCAGAUAAUUUUUCAAAGUACUUGCACAGUGUGAGUUUCAGCUACCUUAUAUUCUCUAUAUCCUCACCAGUACUUAAUAUUGUCAGACUUUUUUUUUGCUACUUGGUAUCUAUAAUGAUCAUCAUAAUUUACCUUUUAGAGAACACAGGUAGUUUUAGACCACAGAUUGUGGGUAACCUCCCAUAUAGGCACCGAGGAAAGAGAGCUAAGCAGAAUCCUGGCACAAUUAGUGCCUGAAGAAUAUCUCAGUUUAUGGUGUUACUAUUCAGUUAUUUCUUUGUAUAUAAUCCUUUAUAUAUAAUCAUAUAUUAGUUCAUAGAAUUAGGGCUUGAAGAAUAUCUCAGUUUAUAGUGUUACUACUCAGUUAUUUCAUUUUAUAUAAUCCUCCAUAUAUAAUCAUUCAUUCAUAGAAUGAGUGCCUAAAGAAUAUCUUACUACUCAGUUAUUUCCAUAUAUAUAUAUAUCUAUAUAUGGAAAAAAAUAUAUAUAUAUAUAACUAUAACUAUAUCUUAGUUCGUAAUCUGUGGGAUGCCUAGAGCAGACAUGGUAUGGAGCAUGAAUUAAGUAAUAAGCAACUUAUAAUCGGAGGAAUGUCUAGAGCAGACAUGGUGCAGGGCAUGAUUUAAGGGAAAAACAAUUAUACCAGCACAAGAAUCCAUGGCCCAGGCGGCAGCGUCCAGUAUCAUAAAGAUACCCGCUAUAUGGCAGACUUGGGGCAAGAGCCGCUCCUCCUGAUAAGCUGUAGGACCUUGCAUCCAGUUCUUGUGGAAGGCUGCCCUCAGACCAGCAAUCCCUCAAGCAUCCGAGGGCUCAAAACCCCUCCAGAUAGUCGCAGCUUGGUGACUGUGAACUUUAUCAGCUCUUGUUACUGUGCUGGCUCAAAAGCAUCCUCCUAUAAAUCUUCUUUGAAGUACCAUGCCUAUAGAUAAGAGAUAUUGCACACUGCACCCUUUUCACUGCUCAUGGCCCACCUCCAUGCCUUGGUGACCUAAUGGGGGUGGAUCCCUUGUUUUAUUGCUCAUAACCCUAUCACUAUCCUUAAAGAUGGCUUCACUCACUACCCUGUCCCCUUACCUAUACCCAAUAAAUAGAGAUGCUUCUGGACAUUCCGGGCCUCGCCUAUCUCCCCUUAUAGGUGACGUGGCCCCGCUGAGCCCAGCUGCGCUUUCUUUGUACUUCUGUGUCCUGUCUCUUUAUGUCUUGAAUCCUGCACCUCAGCACAGCAUAAGGGACACCCCACAACCCUGUGGGGCCCUUAGCCCUAUACAGAUGCCCUGACAUACACACGGUGAUCAUUAAAUAUAUCUACUCCCAGCUCUCCAUAGACCCACUGAAAAAAACCCUUGAAGGCAGUGGCCUCUGAGCCAGCUCACUUUGGGCCGUAUAAUUUGGAAUUUGCUCCUGCAGUGAAACAGUUGGGUAGGGGAAAGGGCAAUGUACUGCUGUGAGCCUGAAGGCUUUUGGUGGGGUAAGAAAUAUUUCAGGAGUUAAUACUACCCACUUUGCCAUGUGCUCUCAGAGUGUGUUUGUUGAAGUUUUAAAGUAAUUCUUCAUAAUAGCCCUCAACUCACCCAGAUGAAUCCAACAAAUUGCUUUUUCAUAAUUACUUCAUUCUCAGCCUUGAAUGUGGAAAUAUUUAAAAAAUGAAACAUAGUGACUAUGAAAGAUUCAAAAAGAUGCCCUACCUAAUUAGUAAUCAGGGAAAUGCAAGGUAAAGCAAUAAUGAGAUGCCCACUUUCAUUUGGUGUAUUAGCAAAAAUUAAGAAUCUGACAAUAUGACCUGAUAAGAGCAUGCGGUAAGUGUACAUGCAUAUAUGCUGCUAACAAUGUUAAAAAUCAUUGCCCCCAACAAUUCUGAAAGCAAACUCAGUGUAAAUGUUAGGAUUAGAAAUGCAGAUAUGCAAUGAGCCAGCUGUUUCAUGUUUAUAAGCCCUAAAGAAGUACUCACAUGUGUACAUGGACUCAUACGCAAUGUUAUUUACUCCAGAAUUUAUAAUAAUGAAAAAAAAAUCACCAAAGAACUGGUGUAUUCAUAUGCUGGAUUGCACUGUUGUGAUUAAAAAGAAGGUAAGGUUUCUAGAAUGUAAGCUCUAUGACAGAAAGAACUUUGCCCAUGUUUUCAACAACUAGAACAAUGAAUAGUGUGUAGUUUACCUAAUAGUGUGAAAUAAUUACUACACAGUAAUUAUUUGUUAUAAUUACAUGGCUAGAUUUAAUUACAUGGCCAGAUUUUGAAGUCAUCCUGUUGGGUGAACAAACAAAUUGCACAAAAUUUGUACUGGAAAAAUAAAUAUACAUGUGUAUAAGUCCGUAACACUUUAUUGGAAAGAUGCACACCAAAUGUGAACUACAUAUGUGUGUAUGCAAGUCCCCAGAAACUUAUCUGAAAAGUAUACAGUGCAAAAGUGUCCAAGGAAAGAAUACAGCCAUAGAUUAUUAGUUUCUCUUUCUGGUUAGGCCAGUAAAGACCCUUCCUCAUCCCUCUUUUCUGCUUAUCAUUAUAGACGGAAACUAAAAACCAUGUCUUCGGGCUGCUAAAAACCCAAAACUAAACAAAAUAGAACAACAAAAACAAAAUAAGGCAGGUUGGACAAGCUUGGUGUGACACCAAAAUUACAACAAUGAUACAUACCCGUUAGGGUUUAGGGACCAGAAAUUGAGACUACAAUUUAGAGAAGACUUCAGACUUCUUUUUUUUUUUUUAUAUUUCAAAAUUUGGAACAUGUAUUUGGAAAUUUCUAAGUGUUCACAUAUAUUACUUGAGCAAUUACAAGAUAAUUUUAAAAUAACAUUUUAUCUUCGAUAAUUUUCUUGUUAUCUGGUAGGUUGAAACUUUCUGAGUCAGGAGCCCCGCAGUCUCUACACAGAUAUACAGAGCAUCUGAUCUUGCUAGACCUAGGCUUUCCAAAGGAAAUUCCUUAAAUGUAUGGAAUAAACUGGAGGAGAAAAGGCUGUUGAGAUAUUUUACAUAUUUCUUUAGGAAUAAACCAGUUGUUGGGUAGUUUCUGUCUUUAUUCCGAUUUUGUAUUAAAAGGGUACUUUAAAAAUUUUUUUUCACUAAUUGUAUUUAUGUUUUUACAAAAAAACUGUAAAAUAUCUUAAUAAAGGGGAUAAAACAAUAAGAUUAAGUAGAUGCAGACAGUAAAGAAUGUGGAAUGAAAAAAAUCGAAGAGACCAAGAUUUUCAUUCCAUCCUGCUAUUUUCCUUAUUAUGUCAUGAUGAUAGGCAAGUCAGCCUCUCUAGGCCUCAUUUUCAUAUCUGCACGAUGAGGAGAUUAGGUUUUGUGGUCCCCAAGAUUCUAAUAGCCACCCCAAGUUUCUCUGCUCAUUCCUGUGUGAGAAUGAUGUGUUAGAACAUUGGGCCAUCUAGCCCAGGUCUAGGAAGCAACAAAAAAAACAACUAUCCUACCUUCUGCUUGGUAUGACUUUUAGGGUUUUUUCAUAGCAUAUUUUUCAAAAUAUAUUUUGAAGGUAAGUAGCAUUUUGAUAAGGGAAAUCUUUCAUUUUGGGCCCAUGCAGGGCAAUUCCAUGAUGCAGUGUGGCCCAUAGCAUUUCAUGUUAUUCAACCAUUUAUGCUUAAGCUAGAGGAACUUGAUAAAGUAAAAAUAGCUCUAACACAAAUGUUUACUAUGUGUAAAGCAUUGUGCUAAAUAUUUCACAUAUAUCAUUGCAUAUAAUUUACACAAUUACCUAAUGGGGUGAGUGUUAUGACUAUGAUCAUUUUCCAGAUAAGCCAACAGUCUCUGAAUGACUAAAGCAGUUACUCAAGGAAAUUGCAUAACUAAGACUUGAAUCAAGAUGGUCUGAUUUGGGUCCAUACCACCCAGGAACACUGGAGACCAUAUCCUGUAAUAUGCUUAUAUCUGUGUGUCUGCUCUAGUACAGAACUUUGUCCUCUGAAGCUUUUCAGUAGAAAUGGAAUAGCAACUCUCCUUACAUCAACAGCAACAGCUGUUUCUUAAUGAAGUCAUCUGCAAAUUAUGAAUUUCUCUCUGCCAUCACUCCUACCCUGCUCCAUAAUGAUUUAAUUUGCUGGCAUGAGACAUUUAGAUUAAGUUCCUUUUGAUGUUUUAAAUGGAUUUUUUAUCUGGAGGGCAAAACAUUUUCUUUGCCAUAGUUUUUACAUAAACUGUUAAUUGGUCGAGGUCUAGUGCGGUUUCCUCUUUACUCACAUUUUUCUUCACUGAAUACACAUAGGGCAUUUAGUGUUUAUUGCUAACAUUUGCCAAAUAAUUGUGUGCAAAAUAUUUGUCUCAUUUAAAUUGGAUUUUGAAUGUUUCUUUAGUGAGUAAUUCUAGAGUUUACACUUCUCUGAGUUUAUACUGACAUCUUUCCUUUUAAAAAGCAAUAGUCUGAUCACUUACGUCAUAUGCUUUCCUAAGAAACUUUUUCCUAGGUCAAAAGAAAGAAUAUAAUUUUUUAUUGGACAAUAGUUUCAUUAUUACAAUAUUGUUUUAUUCAGAUCCUCUGGGAGCUGAUAGGGUCUCUGCAUUAAUAACAACACCUAUUCCCUACCUAUAGCAGAUUUCUUGCACUUUAUUCUGAAAGAUUGAAGGUGUGCACUCAAUAAAUGGAUCAUGUGUUUUAAGAAAUCAUGGGAAAAAAUAUUUCUGUACCUACAUUUUUUAACAACAAUAGAGUCUACAGCUAUAGAAGUAAAAGUUUUGUUUUUUAUUGUAGACAAUGUAUUCUAAAGAGAGAAAGCAAAAAAAAUCCUUUAAAACCUUUAAUUAGAUUGAUGAUAAAUACAUAUAUAAUAUUAUAUAGGUAAAGACUAAGUUUAUAACCUAUUUUUUAGAUUUUUUUCAUGUUAAUCUGGUAAAAAGUUACUUAAUUUUUGGUUUAAAAAGUCUUUCAUCUUUAUGUUUGAAAAGUAAAUAUGAUUGUUAUUUUAUUAUUAUUACAUGUUUUUUAUUUCUAAAAAAUACCCAAAAUAUAUAAACUUGUUACAUUAGUUAGAUUGGAAGGAGGCAGUGUGAAAGGGGCAAAAAUAAGAUCACAGAAGAAAAAAGAGGGAUUGAGAUGGUUAAAAUCCCUGCUUAGAGUACAAUAUUCUGGGAACCCAGCCAUACCCAGCCAUUAAUCAACUGUGAACCCCUUGUGCCCAGGUUCCUACUGUGUUUCUACUUGAGUCUUUGCCCACUCCUUACAGAGACUAUGAAGAGCUGCCCCCAGGCUUUCUUUACUCUGUGCCUCAUUACUGAUCAUUGUGGAAUGAGGACUGGGUUCUCAUCACAGAUUAUUUUCGUUAUUUACGUUGAUUUGGGAGUUGAAUAUAGCAUAGUGUAUACAUACUGAAAUGCUAUCUUGGCGUUCUGUUAGGCUACAGUACUACAGAAGAAAAACCAGGUUAGAAGAACCACAGUGAAAGUUCUAUUCCAGGUCGUUUCUUUGUUAAAUAAGUGAGCACUUCAGUCCUCAGUGUAGGGCAGAUUUCCUUAACACAGUUAUAGUUAAUGACUCCUAAUGUCUAGUUUAUUAUUUCUUUGUUCCUGUUAUUUUUUCUGAUCUCUUUGUGCCUCAGAGCUAGAGAAGUCAAGUAUAACUUUUUUAAAAGGAGUAAGCAUUGCCACAUCUCUGAGAACGCUUUGCCCCGAGGCAUCCCAUUUUAGUUCUCCUAAUUUUUUCCAGCUUCUCUCUUCUGAAAGAGGUGGAAGAUUUCAAGUAAGGAUAAUGUCAGUGGGCUGACUUCUGUUGAAAACAAAAUCCUCCCAAAAUGGUUUUGUGCUUCACAAAUAUAUUUUAAAACUGGUUGAAAUGAAAUCUACAGUGUAUCUCUUUGAAGCUAGCCCCUAAAACCUGUCCCGGGUUUUACCUGGAGGCAUCUUUAUUUUGCUGUACCAAGGAAAACAUUCCUGUUUCUUGCAAGUUAAUUUGUAAGACUGUAUUUAGGAAAUAGUGCCUUUAUUCAUCUCAAACUACAAGCUCUUUAGUUCUUUCUGAUGAUAUCAUCAUGUCAUCAUGUGCGUUUUUUGGAUCUUUCAUCUUCCUUUGACAUUCAUGAGGGAAAAUAUUACCAGUGGUAGCUUUCAGCCCUAGGCUUGCAGUGUCUUUUUGUGGCCCCUGCCUGCUGUUGCUCUUUCAACAAGCAGACCAAAUAAACCUGAAAACAUCUUAUUCAGAGACUAAAAAUAAAGUGUGCUAAAAUCAUAAAAGCAAUAGCAAAGGCACAUAUAGAUUUGUUUUAAGGAGAUGUCAGAGUAAAGAGACCCAUUAUCUAGCUCAUGGAAUAUACUAAUAGAAAACCCAGGCCAGAGAAUAAUUGAAGGGCAGUUACAUUAUGGCUGGGGAUCCACUGUGAUUAAAAGAUACAUAAAGAUAUUUAUGUUAUCUUUCAUUAGUUUGAUCUCAAAUGAUUUUGUAAUAAUCACUCUGCUCAGAGACUGCAUAGCCUUUAAACAAAGUCUCUUAAUGAUUUUAUUAUUAUUUUGAUAUUUUCUGAUAGUGAGUUAUAUAUAACUAAUUACAUUUUUAUUAAUUUACUGUCCUAUAAUUAUUAAAUACUACAUAUAUAAUAUGCAAACCUUUUCUUAAAGGGCCAGAUAGUAAAUAUUAUAGGCUUUGGGCAUGAAGAGACAAAAAUCAAGGCUAUUUUGUUGAUACUUGUAUUCGCAUUUUAAGAUGUAAGCACCUUUCUUAGCUUGUGGGCUGUGGUUUGCCAACCUCUGGUUUUUAUGGUCACCUGGUAAGUCUUGCCUGGUAGCUUUUUUCCACACAUACUUACUUCUGUAGUUAGGAAUCAUCUGAUAUUUACCUGAUAUUAGGAGUGUAAACAUGAAUGUUAAGAUGGUUCUUUUCCUAAAAGAUCUCAGAGUCUCAGAAGAAAGUAUAUAAAUAUGCUUAUUAUAAGUGUUUAUUACAGUGUAACAUGAUGAAUGCCAUCAUUGAUGUGCAAAGCGGGUAUUGGGGCAGGCUCCUCAUAGAAGGUAACCUUGUGACAAGCCUCCAAGGUUCACCAGGCAGCAGAGGGAGGGCAGUGUAUUCCAGGAAGGGAGAUAAUAUUUUUUCCUUAAUCUGAGGCAUUUAUUUGGUUGUUUUUUUCUCCAUCUCAGUGGAAACUCUGAGUUCCCAGAUAAUAGCAGAGACAAUAUCAGUUUAAUGGCUACAAAGAACUUCUAUAGAAAGCCCAAGGAAAAGCACAAUUGAAUUUUAUAAUUAUUAUCCAAUAAUUACAGCGCUAAACGGGCAUACCAUUUAAAGCAUUUAAUUUCUGCUUCUGAAUGCAAGUUAUUUUUCUUUAAUAGGUAAUGGUCACCAAAUAAGUUAGAUCUCAAAUAUGUAGAUGUCGACACAUAAAUGAUGAGGUAUAGUGAACUAGGAUUCUUGAGGACUCUAUUCCAUACCCAAGUUUGUUACUAACCGUAAUUUUGAGCAAAAUAUGUGGCUACUUAAUCAUCUUUAACAUGACAGAGUUGAAGGAUAUGAUUUCUGAGGCUCCUUUUAGCUCUAGGUUUAAUUAGAAUGCAUAUUGAUGGAUACUUUUUUCCUCUGUGGAAACCUAAUUUGAUGUUUCAAUUUUCUUUUAUGGCUUUUGAGUUCAGUGCCAUGCUUAAAAGGCUUUCCACAUUGCAAGAUUUUAAAUAAAUUUAUGUCUAAAGUUCAAAAAGAAGCUAAUUUGAUUUGUCUGACUUUAUCCAAAUUCUAAACUCUCACCUAUUAAAAUUCUAAUCAACCCUAAAGCCCCUGAACUCUAAUACUACAUAAUAAUGUACUAUGUGGGGAAAAAAAAGAAAGAGUAAGGAUUUGUGAUGACCCUGUAGUUACUAUAGAGUCCCCGAAUGCCUUGUAGCUGGAGAGGCAGUAUUGCACAAGCUCUAAAAGCAGACUGGCUGCAUUCAAAUCCUGAUUCUGCCACAUGGUAGCUAUGUGACUUUGGGCAAGUUCCUUAGUCUCUCUGUAUCUCAGUUUUCUCAGUUGCAAAAUGAGAAUAGUAUAGGACCUGUUCACAGGGUCAUUAUGAGGAUUAAAUCCAUUAAUAGUUUUAAAGGCCUUGGAACUGUGGUUGACAAAAAUAAGUACUCAGAGUAUGUCAGUUAUUAUUAUAAGGAUAAUUAUUAUAAAUAACCUAUUUUAAAAUGUGGUAUUAAAUUAAAAUGAUAGAAAUGUUUUAAAAUAAAUGUUCAUGCCAUAGGAAAUUCCUCACAUGCAAUGCUGAACAAAAACACAGGUAAAAAAAUUAUAUAUGCUAUGCCUAAAAUUCCCACAGUUACAUAUGAACAGAAAAUAUACUGGCAGGAAUCACACAGAAAUGUUAGUAUGUUUGAUAGCUAGUCUGCAAAGAUAGCUCCCUAAUGAGUCAUGUCUCCCGGAAUUCACACCUUUCUGUUUUCUUCUCCUUGAAAAUGAGCUGGGCUUCUAUCACCAGUAAAAUUCAGUGGAAGUGCUACUGUAAAACUCCUGAGACUAGGUCAUAAGGAGCCUUGCAGCUUUUGCUUGUCUUAAAACACUUGCUCUGGGGGAAACUCGCCACCAUUUAAGAAGUCCAACUACCCUGAGACCCAAAUGCAGUGACAAAGUUCAAGCUAGCCAAGUGGAGAGAUGUUUGUUUCACCAGCUCGUACGGUUCCAGCCAGCCCAGCCCAGGUGCUAGACAGUGAGUGAAGAAACCCUUAGUUGAUUCCAUACCCAGUGACAUCCGACAGGCAUGACUCCAAGUGGGAAAUGCCUAGCUGAGCUCAGUCAACCCUCAGAAUCAGGAGAGAUAAUAAUACACUGUUAUUUUAAGCUACCAUGUUUGAGGUGCUUAGUUGUGCAGCAGUAAAAAACCCAAUACAAUGAAUUUUCUAUAGCAAAAGUGUAUCAUCACAUAAAAAAAAGUAAUACUUAAAUCCCCUUAAAUAGUUCUUUUUUCUGUAUGGGUUCAAUAUUAAGAGUUUAUUAUGUUUUAUGUGUGUUUUUAUAUUGUAUAUUUGGUUAUUCUUAAUUAACUUACAAAUUAAUUGAGCUACAACAGCCAUUUGUUAGCCAUCCUAAAUAAGUAUAAAUGUAUUGGACUUAGAACAUUUACAGUGAAAAAUACAGAGCCCAGGGAGUAUUUUAUUCCUGGACAAAUUGUGUACAAAUUCUAUACUACCUAUUAUAAAGAAUUUCCUUUUUCUAAGACAUGUUUAUAAGACUUUUCUCCACCAUAACAAAGGGAGGGAUAUUGGAAUGCUUGCUUUGUUGUACUGUGCAAAUCUAGGAGAAUAUAAGUCUGUGGUUCUUCACAUCCCUACCCUCAGGAAUCUAAUUAAAGCUAGAACGCCUGCACCUCCUCUCAUUCCCCAACACACAUAACACACUGAUGAACAAAAUGCUCCAGAGUAUUGGGGUUUCAUUCAUCCAUUGAGGCCCAUGUAUGGAUUUUAGGAUAAAAACCCAGGUUUAGGGCAUUAUUACUCCUCAAGCAAUGUUGCAGAAUAUUACACAUACUAUCCUAUAUAUUUAUGUUUGUUAUAUCCAAGAAAUUAUUUCAUCAUUCUAAUAGUAGUUUACCAAUUCUAUUUCAAAUUUUAUAUUAAAAAGUUAAUAUAGCUCUGUCAAAACAAUUGUCUGAGUUAAAAUCUCACUGAUUUGAAACUUUAGUAUGUUCUUUUUUUCCUUUUUCUUUUGUUACCAUGAGUAACUAACCAGGUGAUAUUUUAUGAAAACAUAUAGAAGAUACAACUGAUGUGAUACAUAUACAGGUGGAAAAGUAUAGUGAAAAGCAGAGUAAUGCCUCAUUAAAAUAGCUGCUUAACUGUUCUGUCUAUUCAAGGUGUAGAUGUGGCACAGACCUGAGAGGCUAGAGAGGGCUUUCCUAUUUAUAUAAUACACUAUCUGGACAUUGAACAAGUAAUCCUUUGUGAUUAUAAUCUUUAUGUGUGUUUUGAAAUGAAUUGCUUCUAAGUGAAAUACAGCUCUGCAUACUUUGGGCUUUGUUGGUAAGAAAAGACAUUUCUGAAGACACUGAGCAUAUUUGAACUAAAUUAAUUAAGGAAACAGUGCACCCUUGUGAUAAAAUGUGAUCAUUAAAAUGCAUAUUUCAUUGAAGACCAAUCUAGUUUUUUAAGAAAGAUCCAAAGUAUUUAAGUUGAGAUGUAUUGGGUGGCAGGGAGACGGGAAUAAACAUUCCAGCAUAUUCAUUUUUUACUGCUGUAAUCACUCUGUAUUUCAGCAAUCGAAUAUAAAUUUCAGUUUCUAAGUGUUUCAUAUUUGAACUAGGUGAGAAGUAAUAAGUAUGUAGAAUUUGCUUUAAAUACUUGUUAAUUUUGGUUUUCUUUAAACUGUUUGAAACAUUUAUGCUGACAUAAGCUCUUUGUGUGUUUAUAUUUUGCUAAUUUAUAUGCAAUAGAAACCUUUGAGUUAUUUUUUGGAAGUGAAGAAAAACAAUUUAAAGCCUGUUUACUUUUAUUCCAGCUGUUUCUAAAAGGAUUUGUAAAUAUUUCAUCUUGAAUUGCAUAGAGAUAAUAAUUAAAAUUGUGACUUCAUUCCAAAGCAUCUUGGUUAGGUAAUGUACUGCUCCAUAAGAUACCACUACACACAACUCAGUAGCUUAAAACUUUAAUUUAUUAUGUCACUUAUGAUUCUAGGCUUAGUUGGGUUCUUCUCAUAUGGGUCUCUCCUGCGGUUGUAGUCAGGUGUCAGCUGGGACAGCAGUCAUCUGAAGGCAUGACUGGGCUAGAUGUCCAAGGGGGCUCACUAUAUGUCUUGCAGUUGAAGCUUUUAGCUCAGCACUCAGCUGGGGCUGGCAGUUGGACUACCUACAACACAAAUUCUUCAUCUAACCUAUUCCUCACAGCAUCUCAGGUAGUCUCAGAUUGGUGGCACAUCUUCCAUGGCACAUGACUUUCUAGAAAUUUUACCUCACUCUGUCUCCUUGUCGACCAGAUGUUAUUAUAUGUGGUCCUGUCAUCAGAUGCAUCUGCUGACCCUCCCAGCUGUCAGUGUCCUUAUUAAAGGAUUUGUUGUAUUUUG